rnacentral:rRNA from 1 species
GUCUACGGCCAUACCACCCUGAACACGCCCGAUCUCGUCUGAUCUCGGAAGCUAAGCAGGGUGGGGCCUGGUUAGUACUUGAAUGGGAGGGAUAGUCCAGCCAACCCGAAUCGGACUGUGGAAGGAU